AGGCUUAACACAUGCAAGUCGAGCGGGCAUAGCAAUAUGUCAGCGGCAGACGGGUGAGUAACGCGUGGGAACGUACCUUUUGGUUCGGAACAACACAGGGAAACUUGUGCUAAUACCGGAUAAGCCCUUACGGGGAAAGAUUUAUCGCCGAAAGAUCGGCCCGCGUCUGAUUAGCUAGUUGGUGAGGUAAUGGCUCACCAAGGCGACGAUCAGUAGCUGGUCUGAGAGGAUGAUCAGCCACAUUGGGACUGAGACACGGCCCAA
rnacentral:rRNA from 1 species